UACGGAGGGUGCAAGCGUUAUCCGGAUUCACUGGGUUUAAAGGGUGCGUAGGCGGGCAGGUAAGUCAGUGGUGAAAUCUCCGAGCUUAACUCGGAAACUGCCAUUGAUACUAUUUGUCUUGAAUAUUGUGGAGGUAAGCGGAAUAUGUCAUGUAGCGGUGAAAUGCUUAGAUAUGACAUAAAACACCAAUUGCGAAGGCAGCUUACUACACAAUGAUUGACGCUGAGGCACGAAAGCGUGGGGAUCAAACAGG
rnacentral:rRNA from 1 species